UUACGGCCACAUCACAUUGAAACUCCGACUGCCGUACGAUUACCGAAGUUAAGCAACGUCGAUGCUUGGUCAGUACCUUGAUGGGUGACUGCUAGGGAAUAUCAGAUGCUGUAAG